rnacentral:rRNA from 1 species
CGAAUAGGGGCAACCCUUAGUAGAGCGGCGCACGGGUGCGUAACACGUGGAUAAUCUGCCUGGAUGCUCGGGAUAACCAGUCGAAAGAUUGGCUAAUACCGGAUAAGCCCACGGUUUCUUCGGAGACUGAGGGAAAAGGUGGCCUCUGUAUACAAGCUAUCACAACCAGAUGAGUCCGCGGCCCAUCAGCUAGUUGGCGGGGUAAUGGCCCACCAAGGCAACGACGGGUAGCUGGUCUGAGAGGACGAUCAGCCACACUGGAACUGAGACACGGUCCAGACUCCUACGGGAGGCAGCAGUGGGGAAUUUUGCGCAAUGGGCGAAAGCCUGACGCAGCAACGCCGCGUGUGUGAUGAAGGUCUUUGGAUUGUAAAGCACUUUCGACCGGGAAGAAAACCCGUUGGCUAACAUCCAACGGCUUGACGGUACCGGGAGAAGAAGCACCGGCUAACUCUGUGCCAGCAGCCGCGGUAAUACAGAGGGUGCAAGCGUUGUUCGGAAUUAUUGGGCGUAAAGCGCGUGUAGGCGGCGUGACAAGUCGGGUGUGAAAGCCCUCAGCUCAACUGAGGAAGUGCGCCCGAAACUGUCGUGCUUGAGUGCCGGAGAGGGUGGCGGAAUUCCCCAAGUAGAGGUGAAAUUCGUAGAUAUGGGGAGGAACACCGGUGGCGAAGGCGGCCACCUGGACGGCAACUGACGCUGAGACGCGAAAGCGUGGGGA